UGCAGUCGACGGCAGCACAGAGGAGCUUGCUCCUUGGGUGGCGAGUGGCGGAUGGGAGAGGAAUACAUCGGAAUCUACUUUUUCGUGGGGGAUAACGUAGGGAAACUUACGCUAAUACCGCAUACGACCUACGGGUGAAAGCAGGGGAUCUUCGGACCUUGCGCGAUUGAAUGAGCCGAUGUCGGAUUAGCUAGUUGGCGGGGUAAAGGCCCACCAAGGCGACGAUCCGUAGCUGGUCUGAGAGGAUGAUCAGCCACACUGGAACUGAGACACGGUCCAGACUCCUACGGGAGGCAGCAGUGGGGAAUAUUGGACAAUGGGCGCAAGCCUGAUCCAGCCAUACCGCGUGGGUGAAGAAGGCCUUCGGGUUGUAAAGCCCUUUUGUUGGGAAAGAAAUCCAGCCGGCUAAUACCUGGUUUUUUAUGACGGUACCCAAAGAAUAAGCACCGGCUAACUUCGUGCCAGCAGCCGCGGUAAUACGAAGGGUGCAAGCGUUACUCGGAAUUACUGGGCGUAAA
rnacentral:rRNA from 2 species